rnacentral:rRNA from 1 species
CCUACGGGAGGCAGCAGUGGGGAAUAUUGGACAUUGGGGGGAACCCUGAUCCAGCCAUGCCGCGUGUGUGAAGAAGGCCCUCGGGUUGUAAAGCACUUUCAGUGAGGAAGAACGCCUGGUGGUUAAUACCCAUCAGGAAAGACAUCACUCACAGAAGAAGCACCGGCUAACUCCGUGCCAGCAGCCGCGGUAAUACGGAGGGUGCGAGCGUUAAUCGGAAUUACUGGGCGUAAAGCGCGCGUAGGUGGCUUGAUAAGCCGGUUGUGAAAGCCCCGGGCUCAACCUGGGAACGGCAUCCGGAACUGUCAAGCUAGAGUGCAGGAGAGGAAGGUAGAAUUCCCGGUGUAGCGGUGAAAUGCGUAGAGAUCGGGAGGAAUACCAGUGGCGAAGGCGGCCUUCUGGACUGACACUGACACUGAGGUGCGAAAGCGUGGGUAGCAAACAGGAUUAGAUACCCUUGUAGUC